GGCCCGUUCGUCUAGCGGUUCAGGACGCCGGCCUCUCACGCCGGUAACACGGGUUCGAAUCCCGUACGGGCUACCA
rnacentral:tRNA from 1 species